rnacentral:lncRNA from 1 species
GAAGGAGACGUGUCAGUGAUCAGCAAAAAUGGUUAAUGGUCUGAAGCAAUCCUUGGUAGAUGAUGAAUUUAAUGGCUUGGAUAACACUGAAUCCAACUGGUUGUCGCCACGGCCCUAUCAAUUCUCCCUCAGACUCUAGACCCUCCUAACCAGUUAUUGCAUCAAGUGAAUCUUAGCCAAAUGAACCCAAAGCCACAAAAUUGAAUGAAAGCUCUAAACUCCUAUGGUCCCACAUCAUCCACAAAUGGUCUACCCCCUGCUUUUCAUUGGGAUCCGUAAUACAGUUAAAAUUCCCAGCAAGUAUUAUAGGGAUGUUUUGAUUAAUCAAUGCUGUUUCCCC